rnacentral:lncRNA from 1 species
UCUGCUGCUGUCCUACAUUUCAAGAUGACUUGUGUGCCUCGGGGCAGGAGUUCAGAAGGAAGCACUGCCUUCCCAGAGUGGGACCGUCAGCACUGGACUCAAUCAGCCUCAUGAAGACACGCCUGGGCAAUCUCCUGCAAACUCAGAGGGAUGAGAGGGCAAAACAGGACAAAGCAAAUCAGAGCAAAGAGCAAAGGAGAGACAUACACACGUGCCAAGGUGCACAAGUGGAUGUCAGAAGCUCUUUUGCUACAUAAUGGAUUCGAGACUACCCUAGACUACACAAGACCCUGCCUCAAAAAAAGAAGAGAGAGAGACUGAGAAGCUUGCCAGUGUUGAUGACUUUAAGUACUCCAGCAGGCAGCCUAACCCUGAAUCAAGAAACAUCGAGUCAUAGCCAGAUGUGGUGGUACAGGCCUGUAACAUCAGCACUCUGAAAGGAGAGGCAGGAAGAUCAGAAGUUCAUAAUCACCCUUGGCCACAUCCAGAGUUUGAGGCCAACCUGGACUACAUGAAAUUCUGUCAGAAAGAAAGAGAGGAUAUGUGUGUGCUUCCUCUAAUCAUCUUUAGCUAUACUGUGCCUGGAUCAUGGUACAGGACAAUAUAGCGAUGGUCAAACCCAAAUUCAAAGGCUCAAGGACAGGGCUUGGAGAGAUGGCUCAGUGACUGAGAGCACUUGCAGCUCUUGCAGAGGACAUAGUUUCGGUUCCCAGCACACACAAGGCAACUCAACCAUCUGCAACUCCAGCUUCAGGAGAUCCAAUGCCCUCUUCUGCUCUCCAUGAACAAAAAGCAUGCAUGCUUGUGAAGUUCACUAGAUCCAAGAUAAAAGAUAAAUGGAUGUUUUACUGGGGAACAACUUACACAGACAAUAAAGAACCACUGCAACUUUUCUGCUCCAGAGGAUGUUGUCUCUACCCUCCUACCCUAUCCACAGCCCAAGAGGGCGAUCAGGCCUGAGACCGCCUCUGCGCACCUGAAGUUACGC